rnacentral:pre_miRNA from 1 species
AAACUACUCCCUCCGUCUUACAAUUCUUGUCUUAGAUUUGUAUAGAUAUGAAUGUAUCUAGUCAUAUUUUAGUAUUUUGAUACAUCCAUUUUUAAAAAAAUCUAAGAGACGGAGGAAGUAUUUG